GACGAACGCUGGCGGCGUGCUUAACACAUGCAAGUCGUACGGUAAGGCCCUUUCGGGGGUACACGAGUGGCGAACGGGUGAGUAACACGUGAGUAACCUGCCCACAACUUUGGGAUAACGCUAGGAAACUGGUGCUAAUACUGGAUAUGUGCUCCUGCUGCAUGGUGGGGGUUGGAAAGCUCCGGCGGUUGUGGAUGGACUCGCGGCCUAUCAGCUUGUUGGUGGGGUAGUGGCCUACCAAGGCGGCGACGGGUAGCCGGCCUGAGAGGGUGACCGGCCACAGUGGGACUUAGAGACGGCCCAGACGCCUACGGGAGGCAGCAGGGGGGAAUAUUGCACAAGGGGCGCAAGCCUGAUGCAGCAACGCCGCGGGCGGGAGGACGGCCUUCGGGUUGUAAACCGCUUUCAGCAGGGACGAAGCUUUUUGUGACGGUACCUGCAGAAGAAGCACCGGCUAACUACGUG
rnacentral:rRNA from 1 species